GAUGAACGCUAGCGGGAGGCCUAACACAUGCAAGCCGAGCGGUAGAGAUCUUUCGGGAUCUUGAGAGCGGCGUACGGGUGCGGAACACGUGUGCAACCUGCCUUUAUCUGGGGGAUAGCCCCUCGAAAGGAAGAUUAAUACCCCAUAAUAUGUUGGAUGGCAUCAUUCGACAUUGAAGACUCCGGUGGAUAGAGAUGGGCACGCGCAAGAUUAGAUAGUUGGUGAGGUAACGGCUCACCAAGUCUGCGAUCUUUAGGGGGCCUGAGAGGGUGAUCCCCCACACUGGUACUGAGACACGGACCAGACUCCUACGGGAGGCAGCAGUGAGGAAUAUUGGACAAUGGGUGAGAGCCUGAUCCAGCCAUCCCGCGUGAAGGACGACGGCCCUAUGGGUUGUAAACUUCUUUUGUAUAGGGAUAAACCUACUCUCGUGAGAGUAGCUGAAGGUACUAUACGAAUAAGCACCGGCUAACUCCGUGCCAGCAGCCGCGGUAAUACGGAGGGUGCAAGCGUUAUCCGGAUUUAUUGGGUUUAAAGGGUCCGUAGGCGGAUCUGUAAGUCAGUGGUGAAAUCUCACAGCUUAACUGUGAAACUGCCAUUGAUACUGCAGGUCUUGAGUGUUGUUGAAGUAGCUGGAAUAAGUAGUGUAGCGGUGAAAUGCAUAGAUAUUACUUAGAACACCAAUUGCGAAGGCAGGUUACUAAGCAACAACUGACGCUGAUGGACGAAAGCGUGGGGAGCGAACAGGAUUAGAUACCCUGGUAGUCCACGCCGUAAACGAUGCUAACUCGUUUUUGGGCUUUCGGGUUCAGAGACUAAGCGAAAGUGAUAAGUUAGCCACCUGGGGAGUACGAACGCAAGUUUGAAACUCAAAGGAAUUGACGGGGGCCCGCACAAGCGGUGGAUUAUGUGGUUUAAUUCGAUGAUACGCGAGGAACCUUACCAAGGCUUAAAUGGGAAAUGACAGGUUUAGAAAUAGACUUUUCUUCGGACAUUUUUCAAGGUGCUGCAUGGUUGUCGUCAGCUCGUGCCGUGAGGUGUUAGGUUAAGUCCUGUAACGAGCGCAACCCCUGUCACUAGUUGCCAUCAUUAAGUUGGGGACUCUAGUGAGACUGCCUACGCAAGUAGAGAGGAAGGUGGGGAUGACGUCAAAUCAUCACGGCCCUUACGCCUUGGGCCACACACGUAAUACAAUGGCCGGUACAGAGGGCAGCUACACAGCGAUGUGAUGCAAAUCUCGAAAGCCGGUCUCAGUUCGGAUUGGAGUCUGCAACUCGACUCUAUGAAGCUGGAAUCGCUAGUAAUCGCGCAUCAGCCAUGGCGCGGUGAAUACGUUCCCGGGCCU
rnacentral:rRNA from 1 species